UACGUAGGAGGCAAGCGUUGUCCGGAAUUACUGGGCGUAAAGCGCGUGUAGGUGGUGGACAGUCUGCUGUGAAGACCGCCUGGCUUAACCGGGCGAGGUCGGCUGGAAACUGUUUCACUGGAGGACGGUAGAGGGGGUGGAAUUCCCGGUGUAGGUGGUGAAAUGCGUAGAGGAUCGGGAAGGAACGACCUGUGGCGAAGGCGG
rnacentral:rRNA from 1 species